rnacentral:rRNA from 1 species
AGCAAUCGAAGCAGUGAACUUAAGCCCCAGUAAACGGCGGCCGUAACUAUAACGGUCCUAAGGUAGCGAAAUUCCUUGUCGGGUAAGUUCCGACCCGCACGAAAGGCGUAACGAUUUGGGCACUGUCGCAACAACAGACUCGGUGAAAUUGUAAGUCCGGUGAAGAUGCCGGAUACCUGCGACAGGACGGAAAGACCCCAUGGAGCUUUACUGUAGCUUGACAUUGGGUCUUGGU